AUUGAACGCUGGCGGCAUGCCUUACACAUGCAAGUCGAACGGCAGCACGGGUGCUUGCACCUGGUGGCGAGUGGCGAACGGGUGAGUAAUACAUCGGAACGUACCUUAUCGUGGGGGAUAACGCAGCGAAAGCUGUGCUAAUACCGCAUACGCCCUGAGGGGGAAAGCGGGGGAUCGCAAGACCUCGUCCGAUUACAGCGGCCGAUGCCUGAUUAGCUUGUUGGUGGGGUAAAAGCCCACCAAGGCGACGAUCAGUAGCGGGUCUGAGAGGACGAUCAGCAACACUGGGACUGAGACACGGCCCAGACUCCUACGGGAGGCAGCAGUGGGGAAUUUUGGACAAUGGGGGCAACCCUGAUCCAGCAAUGCCGCGUGAGUGAAGAAGGCCUUCGGGUUGUAAAGCUCUUUUGUCAGGGAAGAAACACCGGCUCUAACACAGUCCGGGAAUGACGGUACCUGAAGAAUAAGCACCGGCUAACUACGUGCCAGCCGCCGCGGUAA
rnacentral:rRNA from 1 species